ACGUAGGUGGCAAGCGUUAUCCGGAUUCACUGGGCGUAAAGCGCGUGCAGGCGGUUUCGUAAGUCGGACGUGAAAGCUCCUGGCUUAACUGGGAGAGGUCGUUCGAUACUGCGGGGCUUGAGGUCGGGAGAGGGACGUGGAAUUCCCGGUGUAGGGGUGGAAUGCGUAGAUCUCGGGAGGAGCACCGGUGGCGAAGGCGACGACCGGGCCCGGACCUGACGCUGAGACGCGAAAGCGUGGGUAGCAAACGG
rnacentral:rRNA from 1 species